rnacentral:rRNA from 1 species
UACGUAGGGGGCAAGCGUUGUCCGGAUUUAUUGGGCGUAAAGAGCGUGUAGGCGGCCAAGCAGGUCCGCUGUGAAAACUCGAGGCUCAACCUCGAGACGUCGGUGGAAACCGUUUGGCUAGAGUCCGGAAGAGGAGAGUGGAAUUCCCGGUGUAGCGGUGAAAUGCGCAGAUAUCGGGAAGAACACCCGUGGCGAAGGCGGCUCUCUGGGACGGUACUGACGCUGAGACGCGAAAUCGUGGGGAGCGAACAGG